GCCGAGCUCAGUAGCGAGAGCCUGUAACCCAAGCGGGGGCACUAAAGGUGGCUGCGGAUGUUUGGUGUGGAUUCUGAUCCUGGGCCCCAUGUUGUUGUAAUCUUGCUGGCUUGCCCGUUCCAAGUUGCGUAGUGGGCCGGAGGGGCUUUGGCGAAGGCCUUUGCUUUGCUUCUCCGGCCCUAAAGUGGCAGGCACAGCGUGAGGCUGGCUUCACAGAGCAGCGAUCACUGCCCGCUUCCAUCGGUGGAAGGAUAACAGGCUGCUGCACCUUGGGCCCGCUUCUGGCCCAGAGUCCCUCUACAACAGACCACCAUCUUU
rfam:Oryza sativa Japonica Group DNA, chromosome 1, cultivar: Nipponbare, complete sequence.